rnacentral:rRNA from 1 species
CCUACGGGAGGCAGCAGUAAGGAAUAUUGGUCAAUGGGCGCAAGCCUGAACCAGCCAUGCCGCGUGCAGGAAGACGGCCCUAUGGGUUGUAAACUGCUUUUGAACAAGAGAAAACCUCGGUACGUGUACCGAGCUGAUAGUAUUGUUAGAAUAAGCAUCGGCUAACUUCGUGCCAGCAGCCGCGGUAAGACGAAGGAUGCAAGCGUUAUCCGGAUUCAUUGGGUUUAAAGGGUGCGUAGGCGGACCGAUAAGUCAGUGGUGAAAUCUCUCAGCUUAACUGAGAAACUGCCAUUGAUACUGUCAGUCUAGAGUAUAGAUGAUGUGGGCGGAAUAUGACAUGUAGUGGUGAAAUACUUAGAUAUGUCAUAGAACACCGAUUGCGAAGGCAGCUCACAAAACUAUAACUGACGCUGAGGCACGAAAGUGCGGGGAUCAAACAGGAUUAGAUACCCUGGUAGUCCGCACCGUAAACGAUGAUUACUCGUUGUUGGCAAUAUGACCGUCAGCGACCAAGCGAAAGCGAUAAGAAUCCACCUGGGGAGUACGCCGGCAACGGUUGAAACUCAAAGAUAGUACGGACGAGNGAGAGCGACGACGACGACGACGAGGGAGGAGG